UACGUAGGGUCCAAGCGUUAAUCGGAAUUACUGGGCGUAAAGCGUGCGCAGGCGGCUUCGCAAGUCAGACGUGAAAUCCCCGGGCUCAACCUGGGAAUGGCGUUUGAAACUACGGAGCUGGAGUGUGGCAGAGGGAGGUAGAAUUCCACGUGUAGCGGUGAAAUGCGUAGAUAUGCGGAGGAACACCGAUGGCGAAGGCAAUCCCCUGGGCCUGUACUGACGCUCAUGCACGAAAGCGUGGGGAGCAAACAGG
rnacentral:rRNA from 1 species